GAGAGUUUUUAAAGUCCUUUCAACCAAAUCUGUUGAAUCUGGAAUUCAGUUGGUAGAGUACUUGCCUAGGAGCUACAAAGCCCUGGAUUCAAUCCUCAUACCACAUAGACUGGACAUGGUGGCAUAUGCCUGUAAUCUCAGAACUCUGAAGGUAGAGAUGGAGCGUCAGGAGUUCAAGGUCUUCCUCAGCUUCAUGGCAGCGAGUUUGAGACCACCAAGCAAGCAAGAGUGAUAUUCCACUGCGCUAACAAGGAGAGAGCACAGCUUGAGGGUCUGCGGAUCAAGGUUGUCUGACACAAGACCUCAGACCGGACAUAACCUGGGGAUCACAAGGGGAGCCUCUGAGCACCUGGCCAUCCUUGUGCCACUGUUGAAGCUACUGAUCUACACAUGGUGGCUGGAGCUCCUUCUCACUCCCAGGAUCACAGAGGCAGGAAGAAGAGCAGAGAGAAGUCACAAGAGGCCAUAGUAGCCAGUGGUGCUCACUGCAGGGGGAGCUGGCAACAGAAAGUCAUCUUCACUGACUAGGGAUGCUGGGGCAGCAAUGGCCUUGAGGAGCCUCAGAAGAGCUGUCCAGAAUGCUUGGUCCUCACUACAGGUCUAAUUGAUUAUCUCUGCACAGCCCAGCCAUCAGCAGCUUUGUAUGGACUCAGACACAGUGACAGCUGUGUGAACACAUUUCCUGAAAAUACCUCGAGAGGCAGAAAGAAAGGGUUUUCUCUAUUUGUUUAUCCUUACUCUUUUGUUCUUGUUGUUUUCCUAGAUGGGGCUUACCUGCGUAACAGAUUUGGCUGUCCUGGAACUCACUUUGUACACCAGGCUGGCAUCAACCUCAAAGAAAUCGGCCUGCCUCUGUCUCCUGAGUGCUGGGAUUAAAGGCGUUUUCCACCAUGAGGGCUGUAGCGAACCCCCAUGCUUCCUGAAAACGGCAAGAACCAUGAAGCCAGCACAGCUGUUUGACACAGCUCCAGCAAGGCUGAGCCGGAUGCUGCGAUCUCUGUCGUUCUGUCCCUCACUUUUACGUGUUGUGCUCUGUGCGUGGUAUUCUUGGGAACUUUCUGCAUUGUGAUUCUUUUUUUUUUCUUUUUCAGAGCAGGGGACUGAACCCAGGGCCUUGCGCUUGCUAGGCAAGCGCUCUACCACUGAGCUAAAUCCCCAACCCUGUGAUUCAUUUUAUAUCUGAAUCUUUUUAGGAAAGUCCUAAACUUACUAUCACUUCUGCUUUUAGGGGAAUAACUUGAUCUGGACUUAUUUGGACAUGUCCCUUAUGCUGUGGAAAUCGUGAUAAGGAAUUUCUAAAUAAGACCACGACUCCAGGAAUCUUCUUGGGAGAUCUGCCCCUAAGCAAACUCAAACAGUAUAGUUGGAGCAACGGAAACUAGAGAGAGUUGAGAAACUCUGACUGGCUAGGAAAAUUGUUAAGAGAUUCAAGCCCUACUUUUACAAUAUACUUAAAGCUCUCUCUGAAGUGUAGUUUAAAGAUCGGCUUAUCCAGGGUAUGGCCCUGGAGGAAUAGAACUCAGUAAAUGAGACAGAUUAGCUAAAAUCAACUUUUCCUGCUUCACAGCACAAAUGAUAAAUGAAUUUAAGUAAAAGGAGUUAGGUGUUAGCAUUUGCUAUUCAUAAAACCACCAGUUCAGGUAUUUUCUUGUUUGGAGUGUUUAAAAAUUGCUAAUACUGACAGCCUGAAAGCAAGCUGUCAUAUAAUAAAUGUUUUUGCUUUGUUGGA